rnacentral:rRNA from 1 species
UACGUAGGGGGCAAGCGUUGUUCGGAAUGACUGGGCGUAAAGGGUGUGUAGGUGGUUUGAUAAGUUAGAUGUGUAAUACCCAGGGCUUAACUCGGGUGCUGCAUCUAAAACUGUUAGACUUGAGUACUGGAGAGGAUAGUGGAAUUCCUAGUGUAGCGGUGGAAUGCGUAGAUAUUAGGAGGAACAUCAGUGGCGAAGGCGACUAUCUGGACAGCAACUGACACUGAGGCACGAAAGCGUGGGGAGCAAACAGG